UACGAAGGGGGCGAGCGUUGUUCGGAAUCACUGGGCGUAAAGGGCGCGUAGGCGGCCCUCUUAGUCGCGUGUGAAAGCCCCGGGCUUAACCUGGGAACUGCGAUGGAAACUAGCGAGCUGGAGUGUGGCAGAGGGGGGUGGAAUUCCGCGUGUAGCAGUGAAAUGCGUAGAGAUGCGGAGGAACACCGAUGGCGAAGGCAGCCCCCUGGGCUAACACUGACGCUCAGGCACGAAAGCGUGGGGAGCAAACAGG
rnacentral:rRNA from 1 species